GACGGGGUGGCCGAGAGUUUAAGGCGAUGGACUACUAAUCCAUUGUGCUCUGCCCGCGUGGGUUUGAAUCCCAUCCUCGUCG